rnacentral:rRNA from 1 species
AUUCCCCCAGUAGCGGCGAGCGAACGGGGAGGAGCCCAGAGCCUGAAUCAGUGUGUGUGUUAGUGGAAGCGUCUGGAAAGGCGCGCGAUACAGGGUGACAGCCCCGUACACAAAAAUGCACAUACUGUGAGCUCGAUGAGUAGGGCGGGACACGUGGUAUCCUGUCUGAAUAUGGGGGGACCAUCCUCCAAGGCUAAAUACUCCUGACUGACCGAUAGUGAACCAGUACCGUGAGGGAAAGGCGAAAAGAACCCCGGCGAGGGGAGUGAAAAAGAACCUGAAACCGUGUACGUACAAGCAGUGGGAGCCUCUUAAUGGGGUGACUGCGUACCUUUUGUAUAAUGGGUCAGCGACUUAUAUUCUGUAGCAAGGUUAACCGAAUAGGGGAGCCGAAGGGAAACCGAGUCUUAACUGGGCGUUAAGUUGCAGGGUAUAGACCCGAAACCCGGUGAUCUAGCCAUGGGCAGGUUGAAGGUUGGGUAACACUAACUGGAGGACCGAACCGACUAAUGUUGAAAAAUUAGCGGAUGACUUGUGGCUGGGGGUGAAAGGCCAAUCAAACCGGGAGAUAGCUGGUUCUCCCCGAAAGCUAUUUAGGUAGCGCCUCGUGAAUUCAUCUCCGGGGGUAGAGCACUGUUUCGGCAAGGGGGUCAUCCCGACUUACCAACCCGAUGCAAACUGCGAAUACCGGAGAAUGUUAUCACGGGAGACACACGGCGGGUGCUAACGUCCGUCGUGAAGAGGGAAACAACCCAGACCGCCAGCUAAGGUCCCAAAGUCAUGGUUAAGUGGGAAACGAUGUGGGAAGGCCCAGACAGCCAGGAUGUUGGCUUAGAAGCAGCCAUCAUUUAAAGAAAGCGUAAUAGCUCACUGGUCGAGUCGGCCUGCGCGGAAGAUGUAACGGGGCUAAACCAUGCACCGAAGCUGCGGCAGCGACACUAUGUGUUGUUGGGUAGGGGAGCG